AACACCGGCUCCCGUAGGAUCACCGAAGUUAAGCAACGUCGAGCUUUGUCAGUAUCUAGAUGGGUGAUCGAUUUGGAAUGCUAGAUGCUGCAAG